GUCUUUGCUCUCAAUAUGGACAGUAACUUCUGCUGUGCAGAUUGAAGAAGAAGAACUCAAUGAGACAGUCAUUUGCACCAAAGAUCAGAUGCAAGUUAUCAUUCCCAGUGUGUUUUUUCUGAACAAGGAGCCACCUGUUUCGGUUUGGGAUUUGCACUUGAAUGAUCCUGACUGUCGAGGUGUUGAGGUUGGGAACGACUAUGUCUUCAGCAUCAAGACCAACCUCACAGAC